rnacentral:tRNA from 1 species
GUCGAAAUGGUGGAAUUGGCAGACACGAUAGACUCAAAAUCUAUUGCCUUCGGGCGUGAGGGUUCGACUCCCUCUUUCGACACCA